CUACGGGGUGCAGCAGUCAAGAAUCUUCCGCAAUGGCCGAAAGGCUGACGGAGCAAUGCCGCGUGCCAGAGGAAGCCCUUUGGGGUGUAAAUGGCUUUUGUAAGGGAAUAAGUCUCGAUUUAUCGGGAUUGAAGGUACCUUGCGAAUAAGAGGCUGCUAACUCUGUGCCAGCAGCAGCGGUAAUACAGAGGCCUCAAGCGUUAUCCGGAUUUAUUGGGCGUAAAGCGUCCGCAGGCUGUAUAUUAAGUCUUUGUUUAAAGACCAGUGCUUAACACUGGGAAAGGUGAAGAUACUGAUAUACUUGAGGGUGGGAGAGGCUAGCGGAACAGUUGGUGUAGGGGUAAAAUCCGUUAAUAUCAACUGGAACACCAAAGGCGAAAGCAGCUAGCUUGAACACACCUGACGCUCAGGGACGAAAGCGUGGGUAGCGAACGGGAUUAGAUACCCGGGUAGUC
rnacentral:rRNA from 1 species